AUUUUGUUCACAGAGUCGCACUGCGUUCAGAAGACGACUCUGACUAAAAACUGGGGACCGCAGUCGAUGCUGUACCUGAAGGGGAAAUAUGGUAGAAGAUAUAUUCCAGACAGCGAUGGUGAUUUUUAUAAAUCCGCUCUGAAAAGCUUGUACGUAGUUAUCAGAGGUAUGAAACGAGCGAUAUGUGUACAUCAGUAGGAUCGACUGUAUAAUGUUUGUACAUUUUGUUUUCUUUAUACACUAAUAGCAUUCAGUGCGUUAACGGGAGUUCACCUGCACUGAUGACUUUUAACAAACAUCAAUGAAUACAUGAUCAGUGUGUG
ensembl:lncRNA